GACGAACGCUGGCGGCGUGCCUAAUACAUGCAAGUCGAGCGAAGUUUUUCUGGUUCUUGGACUAGAAAAACUUAGCGGCGAGCGGGUGAGUAAUACGUAAAGAACCUGUCUCAUAGACUGGGACUACUAUUGGAAACGAUAGUUAAUACCGGAUAAUAGUACUUCACGCUUGAGAGAUGUUUAAUUGUUGGGUUUGCGAAGACUAUGAGAUGGCUUUGCGGUGUAUUAGCUAGUUGGUGGGGUAAAGGCCCACCAAGUCGACGAGGCAUAGGCGACCUCAGAGGGGGGUCGGCCACACUGGGACUGGACCACGGCCAAGACUCCUACGGGAGGCAGCAGUAGGGAAUCUUCCGCAAAGGGCGAAAGCCUGACGGAGCAACGCCGCGUGAGUGAAGACGGAUUUCGGUUCGUAAAGCUGUGUUGUUAGGGAAGAAUGGAUAUGUCGUAAGUAUACAUGUAAGAGACGGUACCUGGCAAGAAAGCCACGGCUAACUACGUG
rnacentral:rRNA from 1 species